rnacentral:rRNA from 1 species
CGUAGGGGGCGAGCGUUGUCCGGAUUCAUUGGGCGUAAAGAGCUCGUAGGCGGCUUGGCAAGUCGGGUGUGAAAUCUCUGGGCUUAACUCAGAGAGGCCACUCGAUACUGCUAUGGCUAGAGUCCGGUGGGGGACCAUGGAAUUCCUGGUGUAGCGGUGAAAUGCGCAGAUAUCAGGAGGAACACCGGUGGCGAAGGCGGUGGUCUGGGCCGGCACUGACGCUGAGGAGCGAAAGCGUGGGGAGCGAACAGGAUUAGAUACCCUGGUAGUCCACGCCGUAAACGUUGGGCACUAGGUGUGGGGCCUUAUCAACGGGUUCCGUGCCGUAGCUAACGCAUUAAGUGCCCCGCCUGGGGAGUACGGCCGCAAGGCUA